rnacentral:rRNA from 1 species
AUUGGAAGGGAUGUAUUUAUUAGAUUAAAAACCAAUGCCCUUCGGGGCUCACUGGUGAUUCAUAAUAACUUCUCGAAUCGCAUGGCCUUGCGCCGGCGAUGGUUCAUUCAAAUUUCUUCCCUAUCAACUUUCGAUGUUUGGGUAUUGGCCAAACAUGGUUGCAACGGGUAACGGAGGGUUAGGGCUCGACCCCGGAGAAGGAGCCUGAGAAACGGCUACUACAUCCAAGGAAGGCAGCAGGCGCGCAAAUUACCCAAUCCCGACACGGGGAGGUAGUGACAAUAAAUACUGAUACAGGGCUCUUUUGGGUCUUGUAAUUGGAAUGAGUACAAUUUAAAUCCCUUAACGAGGAACAAUUGGAGGGCAAGUCUGGUGCCAGCAGCCGCGGUAAUUCCAGCUCCAAUAGCGUAUAUUAAAGUUGUUGUGGUUAAAAAGCUCGUAGUUGAACCUUGGGCCUGGCUGGCCGGUCCGCCUCACCGCGUGUACUGGUCCGGCCGGGCCUUUCCCUCUGUGGAACCCCAUGCCCUUCACUGGGCGUGGCGGGGAACCAGGACUUUUAC